rnacentral:rRNA from 1 species
AUUGAACGCUGGCGGCAGGCCUAACACAUGCAAGUCGAGCGGAGCGGCGGACGGGUGAGUAAUGACUAGGUAUCUGCCUGGUCGUGGGGGAUAACGUCCGGAAACGGGCGCUAAUACCGCAUACUAUUAGCUGCGCCUAGGUCGGAUUAGCUAGUUGGUGGGGCAAAGGCCUACCAAGGCGACGAUCCGUAACUGGUCUGAGAGGAUGAUCAGUCACACUUGAACUGAGACACGGUCCAUACUCCUACGGGAGGCAGCGUUGGGGAAUAUUGGACAAUGGGCGAAAGCCUGAUCCAGCCAUGCGGCGUGUGUGAAGAAGGUCUUCGGAUUGUAAAGCACUUUAAGUGGGGAGGCGGUACCAACAGAAUAAGCACCGGCUAACUUCGUGCCAGCAGCCGCGGUAAUUC